rnacentral:rRNA from 1 species
AUUGAACGCUGGCGGCAGGCCUAACACAUGCAAGUCGAGCGAGCGGCGGACGGGGGAGGAAUGUCUAGGAAACUGUCUGAUGGAGGGGGAUAACUACUGUAAACGGUAGCGAAAACCGCAUACAAUCAGAUGUGCCCAGAUGGGAUUAUCUAGUAGGUGGGGUAACGGCUCACCUAGGCGACGCUCCCUAGCUGGUCUGAGAGGAUGACCAACCACACUGGGACUGAUAUCCUGUCCAGACUCCUACGGGAGGCAGCAGUGGGGAAUAUUGCACAAUGGGUGCAAGCCUGAUGCAGCCAUGCCGCGUGUGUGAAGAAGGCCUUAGGGUUGUAAAGCACUUUCAGCGGGUAGGCGUUACCCGCAGAAGAAGCACCGGCUAACUCCGUGCCAGCCGCCGCGGUAAUUC